GUCCCUAGUUCGGAUUGUAGGCUGAAACUCGCCUACAUGAAGCUGGAAUUGCUAGUAAUCACAGGUCAGCAUACUGUGGUGAAUACGUUCCCGGGCCUUGUACACACCGCCCGUCACACCAUGAGAGUUGAGAAUACCCGAAGCCCAUGUCAAAGUGGUCGAAGGUAGGCUUGAUGAUUGGGGUGAAGUCGUAACAAGGUACC
rnacentral:rRNA from 1 species